rnacentral:rRNA from 1 species
ACGCCAGACUCCUACGGGAGGCAGCAGUGGGGAAUAUUGCCCAAUGGGGGACCCCCUGAUGCAGCCCCGCCUCGUGAGUUACGACGUAUUUCGGUCUUUCAAGCUCUCUCCUCCGGGAAGAGCCUGCCGGUACCUUCCUUCUAAGCCCCUUCUCCCUACGUGCCCGCCUCCGCGGUACUCCUUCGGGGGCGUGCUUUAUCCGGAUUGACUGGGUGUAAAGGGAGCGUAGACGGUUCUGCAAGUCUGAAGUGAAAGCCCGGGGAGUAACCGCGGAACGGCUUUGGAAACUGUGGAACUGGAGUGCUGGAGAGGCAAGCGGAAUUCCUAGUGUAGCGGUGAAAUGCGUAGAGAGGAGGAGGAACACCAGUGGCGAAGGCGGCGUACUGGACUGUAACUGACGUUGAGGCUCGAAAGCGUGGGGAGCAAACAGGAUUAGAUACCCGGGUA